AUUGAACGCUGGCGGCAGGCCUAACACAUGCAAGUCGAGCGGAGCGGCGGACGGGUGAGUAAUGCCUAGGAAUCUGCCUGGUAGUGGGGGAUAACGUCCGGAAACGGGCGCUAAUACCGCAUACUAUCAGAUGAGCCUAGGUCGGAUUCGCUAGUUGGUGGGGUAAAGGCCUACCACGGCGACGAUCCGUAACUGUUCUGAGAGGAUGAUCAGUCACACUGGAACUGAGACAAGGUACAGAAUCCUACGGGAGGCAGCAGUGGGGAAUAUUGGACAAUGGGCGAAAGCCGGAGCCAGCCAUGCGGCGUGUGGGAAGAAGGUCUUCGGAUUGUAAAGCACGUUAAGAUGGGAGGCGUUACCAACAGAAUAAGCACCGGCUAACUGCGUGCCAGCAGCCGCGGUAAUUC
rnacentral:rRNA from 1 species